UCGUCUGUGUUGGCGUUUGCUGACGCACGUGCGGUGCUUUCUCGGAGUGUUUUUUUUUGUUAAAAGUAGCCGGUUUUUGUGUUUUACUAGUGUUUUUUGGUGGUGGAACUAACUGCUAGAAACUAACCCUAUAAAUUAACAUAUUCUGAAAAAACCUGCCACUUAUAAAAUUACCCGAAAGUCUCAGCUAUCACCAACCGUUCUCGUGUCUCUUCAAUCCCACACGAUAUUGGCGAAGUAAAUCGCGCCCACCUGGUGCAGCUCCACGCCAUAAA